GGACUCGCGGCCUAUCAGCUUGUUGGUGAGGUAAUGGCUCACCAAGGCGACGACGGGUAGCCGGCCUGAGAGGGUGACCGGCCACACUGGGACUGAGACACGGCCCAGACUCCUACGGGAGGCAGCAGUGGGGAAUAUUGCACAAUGGGCGAAAGCCUGAUGCAGCAACGCCGCGUGAGGGACGACGGCCUUCGGGUUGUAAACCUCUUUUAGCAGGGAAGAAGCGAAAGUGACGGUACCUGCAGAAAAAGCACCGGCUAACUACGUGCCAGCAGCCGCGGUAAUACGUAGGGUGCAAGCGUUGUCCGGAAUUAUUGGGCGUAAAGAGCUCGUAGGCGGUUUGUCGCGUCUGCUGUGAAAUCCCGAGGCUCAACCUCGGGUCUGCAGUGGGUACGGGCAGACUAGAGUGCGGUAGGGGAGAUUGGAAUUCCUGGUGUAGCGGUGGAAUGCGCAGAUAUCAGGAGGAACACCGAUGGCGAAGGCAGAUCUCUGGGCCGCUACUGACGCUGAGGAGCGAAAGGGUGGGGAGCAAACAGGCUUAGAUACCCUGGUAGUCCACCCCGUAAACGUUGGGCGCUAGAUGUGGGGACCAUUC
rnacentral:rRNA from 1 species